GUUCAAUUCUAAAUUUUGUCGACCAGCUGCCAGACGAAGAUGGCCGGCUUAUGAUUAUGCACGGAGCAAUGGACGAAAACGUUCAUUUUAUGCAACACACUGGUCAACUUGUUAAUCUGCUGAUAAAGCAUGGAAAACCUUAUCAUUUACAGAUGUAUCCCGGUGAACGUCACAGUUUGCGGCACCCCGACUCCAAUGAACACUAUCUGACCUCGCUGCUAGCGUUUCUACGAAAGAACUUGUGAUACGCGAGAUCUGAAACGUGAUACUGACAUUCGGGUCACGUGACUUUAAUAAUAUAAAAAAUAAUAUUAUCUUGAAAAAUCAUUUCCCCCCGUUCCCCUUUUGAAAAUAUUUUUUCUCCCAGAGCGCAAACAAUGGUAAGGGAAAAAAUCUAUUUUAAGAAAAAAAGUAACCUUUUGGGUUAAAAUUGUUCAAAAUGAUGAUAAAGCUUGCCUUUUUUUUUGGGGGGGGGGGAAUUCUUAAAAAUAUACACCCCCCUAAAGAAGGGAAUAAAUAUAAACAUAAAGAAGAUUUAUAUUUGUAGGGUGUGAUCUUAACAAGGCUCUUUUUUGUGAACAUAGUUACUGUAGUUACCAACUUAAAACCAAAUUUGUAUGUCUUUUAGUACACCCUUUAGAGUUAUUUAUAUUACUUUAACAGCUAAUGAUUUCUGUUCUUCUGUGUAACCUUUCAACUCUUCUACCUUCAGGAAACUGACCUAAGGGUUUUCUGGCCUAAAACUGUUAGAUGUAGUUGGAGUUGGAUGCAGGUCCGUAGCUAGGAAUUUCUUCAGGGAUUGGGGGCACAAAAGUUAUAAAUAGCAUAGAUAGAUAAGUAAGGGGAGCGCCGCAUGAGAAAAAUUAUUGACCUGAAAAAUUCAAUAAGGGUUACAAUUAAUUAAUGUAAAACUAAAAAACUAGAAUUGAACUUAUCACAUAUAGUUUAAAAAGUUUUUCCUGUUUUCCUUCCCUUAAUUGCUGUUGAAUAAUUGAGAAGCUUUGUAGAGAUUUUACUUAAACUAAAAAUAAAUGUACUACUGAAAAUUUUUAAAUCACGAAUAGCCAAUAUUGUAAAGCAUGAAAAUCUUCAGUUUUCAGAAAAUUUAAAUUAGUACAAACAGCUUCUCCUAAACCUGGCCAUAUUUUGUAUAUAAUUUAAAUUUGAUUCCAUGUCACUCUUUGCUGUACGAUGGUUCAUUAGAAUCAUUAAUCAAAUAAAAGAAGAGAAAAGGAUAAGCUUCUUAAAAUACAAAAAAAAAAAAAAAUUAAACCCUAUCAUUUCACAAGAUAGGAUAGAAAUUAAAAUUCUUAAAUAAUUUAGUUCAGAAAGCACUCAACUUUCCUUAAAUUUGAAGAAAAAAAAUAAUCCUGUUCACAUAAUAUUGGUAACGAUUUUAAGCCAAUUUUCUCCCCUUUUUUCCUUAUUUCUUUUUCAGUUUCCUUCCUUUAAUUUUUUCAUUUUCUUUUUUUUUGUCUCAGAAAAUGUGCCCCUCCCAAAGUAGUAAAAUGGGGCCACGUGCCCAUGUCCCCCCCCCUAGCUACGGCCCUGGUUGGAUGGAGGUUAGACGUAGUUUAUCGGGGAGUCGAUAAAAAUAAAAUAAAAAACGCGCGGUUAGUCGAAAAAAUUAUUCGAUUAUUAGUUCAGAUAUCUUUUAGAUCCGUUUCCUCUAGGUCAGUUUCGAGUCUUUUCUCUGUAAUUAUACGAUCCAUAUAACUUGAACGUAAAGGGACUGUAAACAUAUUUUACAUUUAUAGAGUGGCAAGUUGACCUUUAACUGACCAAUAAUGUAAAAGAUAUCGUCUUUUUUCUCGAUUUAAAUGUGUUCCUCCAAUUUGAUUCUGAAGCAGAAAUGCGUGUCAUAUUUUAGUAAAACAAAGCUUUCUUAAGGUACCAUUUUGAUUUGGACAUGCCACGCUAUAAAUGGAUGGUGAAUUUAAAUCCCGUCUACAGUCUCUUUAAGCAACUUUAUAGAUCUAAAAAAUUUAGGAAUACAAAUGAGAUUAAAAUAUGUAUAUUGUAUGUUUAUGUUAUUUACGAAACUAACGCCAAGUGUUUUACCAUGUAAUUUUGUCAAGUUUCAAAAUUGCCAUAUUGGCAAGUGUUAAGAUGCAAGUAGACAUACCAGCCUUAUGAAAAUGUAUAAAAACAAUAAAAAUACAAAAUAUU